rnacentral:rRNA from 1 species
UAAUACAUAAGUAACCUGCCCUAGACAGGGGGAUAACUAUUGGAAUCGAUAGCUAAGACCGCAUAGGUACGGACACUGCAUGGUGACCGUAUUAAAAGUGCCUCAAAGCACUGGUAGAGGAUGGACUUAUGGCGCAUUAGCUGGUUGGCGGGGUAACGGCCCACCAAGGCGACGAUGCGUAGCCGACCUGAGAGGGUGACCGGCCACACUGGGACUGAGACACGGCCCAG